AUGAUGCAGCCGAGCCACGCGAACAUGGAGAGGCGGCAGUGCUUGAGCUCCUUGAUCUUGAGCUCCUCGAGGUCACCGGACUCGGCGAGGCCGAGGGGGUCGAAGCGGCCACCGGGGGACACGUCACCGACGGUGAGCUCGUCGAAGACGGGGUCGGAGAGGCCGGUGCGGUAAGCCUCGGCGAGGCCGACGAGGACGACCUCGAUGGCGAGGACGGCCCAGAAGGAGGGGUAGCCGGAGCCCUCGGGGGCGAGGGGAGCGACGGCGCCGGGGAACUUGUCCGCGACGGCGGUGCAGUCGUCGGGGGUGCAGAGGGUACCGGCGGUGAACCAGGGGAUGCCGGUGCCGUUCUCGGCGGCCCAGGCACCGGUCACGCCGAGCAUCGCCCAGCGGCCGUGGAUGACCUCACGCUCGGCGUUCUUCUCGGAGCCGAAG
rnacentral:lncRNA from 1 species